rnacentral:piRNA from 1 species
GGGCUGGAGAGAUGGCUCAGAGU